rnacentral:rRNA from 1 species
AACGAACGCUGGCGGCAUGCCUAACACAUGCAAGUCGAACGAAGGCUUCGGCCUUAGUGGCGCACGGGUGCGUAACGCGUGGGAACCUGCCCCCUCGGUUCGGAAUAACAGUUAGAAAUAGACUGCUAAUACCGGAUGAUGACUUCGGUCCAAAGAUUUAUCGCCGAGGGAUGGGCCCGCGUAGGAUUAGCUAGUUGGUGGGGUAAAGGGCCUACCAAGGCGACGAUCCUUAGCUGGUCUGAGAGGAUGAUCAGCCACACUGGGACUGAGACACGGCCCAGACUCCUACGGGAGGCAGCAGUGGGGAAUAUUGGACAAUGGGCGAAAGACCUGAUCCAGCAAUAGCCGCGUGAGUGAUGAAGGCCUUAGGGUUGUAAA